rnacentral:rRNA from 1 species
GAAGGCUGCAACUCGCCUUCGUGAAGCCGGAAUCGCUAGUAACGGCUGAUCAGCCACGCAGCCGUGAAUACGUUCUCGGGUCUUGUACACACCGCCCGUCACGUCAUGGAAGCCAGAGACGCCUGAAGUCCCCCCCAGGGGCCCACGGCGGAGCUGGUGACCGGGACGAAGUCGUAACAAGGUAUCCGUAUCGGAAGGUGCGGAUGGAUCACCUCCUUUCUAGGGAGAUUA